UGCAAGGGCGGCUGCUAAUACAUGCAAGUCGAGCGGACAGAAGGGAGCUUGCUCCCGGAUGUUAGCGGCGGACGGGUGAGUAACACGUGGGUAACCUGCCUGUAAGACUGGGAUAACUCCGGGAAACCGGAGCUAAUACCGGAUAGUUCCUUGAACCGCAUGGUUCAAGGAUGAAAGACGGUUUCGGCUGUCACUUACAGAUGGACCCGCGGCGCAUUAGCUAGUUGGUGAGGUAACGGCUCACCAAGGCGACGAUGCGUAGCCGACCUGAGAGGGUGAUCGGCCACACUGGGACUGAGACACGGCCCAGACUCCUACGGGAGGCAGCAGUAGGGAAUCUUCCGCAAUGGACGAAAGUCUGACGGAGCAACGCCGCGUGAGUGAUGAAGGUUUUCGGAUCGUAAAGCUCUGUUGUUAGGGAAGAACAAGUGCAAGAGUAACUGCUUGCACCUUGACGGUACCUAACCAGAAAGCCACGGCUAACUACGUGCCAGCAGCCGCGGUAAUACGUAGGUGGCAAGCGUUGUCCGGAAUUAUUGGGCGUAAAGGGCUCGCAGGCGGUUUCUUAAGUCUGAUGUGAAAGCCCCCGGCUCAACCGGGGAGGGUCAUUGGAAACUGGGAAACUUGAGUGCAGAAGAGGAGAGUGGAAUUCCACGUGUAGCGGUGAAAUGCGUAGAGAUGUGGAGGAACACCAGUGGCGAAGGCGACUCUCUGGUCUGUAACUGACGCUGAGGAGCGAAAGCGUGGGGAGCGAACAGGAUUAGAUACCCUGGUAGUCCACGCCGUAAACGAUGAGUGCUAAGUGUUAGGGGUUUCCGCCCCUUAGUGCUGCAGCUAACGCAUUAAGCACUCCGCCUGGGGAGUACGGUCGCAAGACUGAAACUCAAGGAAUUGACGGGGGCCCGCACAAGCGGUGGAGCAUGUGGUUUAAUUCGAAGCAACGCGAGAACCCUUACCAGUCUUGACAUCCUCUGACAACCCUAGAGAUAGGCUUUCCCUUCGGGGACAGAGUGACAGUGUGCAUGAUGGUCGUCAGCUCGUGUCGUGAGAUGUUGGGUUAGUUCCCGCAACGAGCGCAACCCUUUGAUCUUAGUUGCUAG
rnacentral:rRNA from 1 species